rnacentral:rRNA from 1 species
CCUACGGGAGGCUGCAGUGGGGAAUAUUGGACAAUGGGCGAAAGCCUGAUCCAGCCAUGCCGCGUGUGUGAAGAAGGCCUUCGGGUUGUAAAGCACUUUCAGUGGGGAAGAAAGCCUUGGGGCUAAUACCCUCGAGGAAGGACAUCACCCACAGAAGAAGCACCGGCUAACUCCGUGCCAGCAGCAGCGGUAAUACGGAGGGUGCGAGCGUUAAUCGGAAUUACUGGGCGUAAAGCGCGCGUAGGCGGUCUGAUAAGCCGGUUGUGAAAGCCCCGGGCUCAACCUGGGAACGGCAUCCGGAACUGUCAGGCUAGAGUGCAGGAGAGGAAGGUAGAAUUCCCGGUGUAGCGGUGAAAUGCGUAGAGAUCGGGAGGAAUACCAGUGGCGAAGGCGGCCUUCUGGACUGACACUGACGCUGAGGUGCGAAAGCGUGGGUAGCAAACAGGAUUAGAUACCCCUGUAGUC